UUGGUCCAAUGGUUAGAGAGGGUGUUCUUCAGGUCACUCGCAAUCACAUGAAGUCAUCUAGCCUCUAUAGAAAAAUUUACGAAAAGACUGGCACAGAUCAGGGGCUCGGAGAUGCUAGUUUGCGAACAACUUUGAUAGCUGAUCUCUUCUUUCUUCUACAAGCACUGUGGAUACUCCAAAGUGAUAGGAGAUUUGGAGGAGGAAGAGAGAAGGAGGAGAAGAGGCUCUGAAAAUAAAAAAACUUGCAAGAGAACUGAUCAUGGGACAUCCAAGAGAGGGGUCCCCUUUUUAUAGACUAAGAAUUGAAACUUUCUAAGAAAAGGUACCAUGAAUCAACACCAAAAUCCCC
rnacentral:lncRNA from 1 species